ACGGGAGCCUCAGGACCACGAAGUCGAUCAAGACUUCCAUAAAGAGCAUAUAAUCAGCUUCAAGUUGUCUUUCCAUCAUGGAAUCUCUCGAUAUUGUUGCUCAAGAGAGACGGGAUAUUGAUCAAAAUAUUGCCAACCUGGAUGAUCUCUAUAGCGCGUUACUCCAAAUGAGACAGGAUAUUGAAGAAAAUAUUGGCACCCUGGAGGAACCUCUUCGGCACCUUAACAACGCCAAGACAACUGGUGACAUACAAAAAUAUCUUCAAGAAUUUUCAAUUGAAUUCCACAAGCUUUUUUUGUUGUUUGAAAAGCUGGCCGGUUUUACGACGUGCGCUUUGAGUAUAGGCAUAGAAACAGGGGAAUCGGUUGGGUUCAGAUGGCAUAUAGCCGCUUUCUGGGAAGAUUACGGACAUAUACAGCAGAUCAUGUACACAUGCUCAUUAUGUCGUCAAUUGCAAGAUGCUAAGCUUCGUCGAGGGGUACAGUACCUUCAGGAACAGAUGCGUGAUUUAGAAGCUGUUUGUGAAGAAAGCAAGGAGCAACUGGAGGCAGACUUGGAAAACCUGG
rnacentral:sRNA from 2 species